rnacentral:misc_RNA from 1 species
GGAAGGAUCAUUCUUAACAUUAAAAAUCACAAUCAUAUCUUAUUACAGAGUGUUAUGUCCAAAAUUAGUGCAAUGUAACGAAAUUUCUCAAAACAAAAUAUGUCAAUGGUGGAUAUGUUGGUAUAUACGACGAUGAAGAACGCAGCGAAAUGCGAAAAUUAAUGCGAAUUGCAAGAUCCAGUGAAUCAUCAAAUUUUUGAACGCUUUAGUGUCAAGUAGUUAUUCUGCUUGAUGUACUUCUUUGACAUUUAUCAUAUAAACCAAAAUGCAGAGAAUUACUCUGUAAUAGACAAUAGCACGUUGAGUCUAAUCUUUGCAAAUUUAUUGUAACGAAAAGUACAACGUGUAUAUAACUAACUAUUUUUUUCAAUUGUGUCAACUGAAGUAAGGAUACCUGCUGAAUUUAAGCAUAUAACUAAGCAGAGGAAAAGAAACCAAAAAGGAUUCUCCUAGUAACGGCGAGUGAACAGGGAAGAGCUCAUUCAUUAAAUUGGCUUCCUUGUGGAGUCAAAUUGUGGUUUGUGGAAGUAUAUCCAAAGUGUGACCCAAAUCAAAAUUUGUUGAAAUGCAAUACAAGAAAGGGUGAAUGUCCCGUUUGUGAUUUGGAGCUCGCCUUGUACGGAUUACUUUCUUUGAGUCGGAUUGCUUGAAAGUGCAGUCUAAACGAGAGGUAAAUUCCUUUCAAAGCUAAAUAAUCGUAUAUGACCGAUAGCAUACAAGUACCGUGAGGGAAACAUGAAAAGAACUUUGAAAAGAGAGUUAAAAGUACUUGAAACUGUUGACAACAAGGAAUAGUUUGUAUUGGUUUGUCCUCUAUCUGUCACUUAUAAUUUUUCGUAUUGCAAUUAUGUUUACUUGUCAUGAUGAGAAGUUGAAUUGAUGGAAUAUUGGGCUUUGUGUGUGUUAUCUUUGAUAAGAUAAGAUCGUUUUGAAAUGGAGGUAGGUGUAGGUAAUUUAUUACUUCCUGAUGCCAUUUUAUCAACUCUUUUCAUUUUAAAGGUUAUGCACAAAUAUGUUGACUAUUCGCCCGUCUUGAAACACGGACCAAGGAGUGUAACGCUUGUGCAAGUGCAAUGACUGUAGUUCAAAGCGCAUAAUGAAAGUGUAAUGAAACCUGGUUUCAUUUGGUGUCUAUUCAGUUAUGAAUGCAACACCUCCCAGCUUAUCUUUUGUGUUAAGUAUGAGGAACAGCACAGUCGUUGCGACCCGAAAGAUGGUGAGCUAUACUUGCGCAAGGUGAAGCCAGGAGAAAUUCUGGUGGAAGCCUGCCACGAUACUGACGUGCAAAUCGUUCGUCUGACGUGAGUAUAGGGGCGAAAGACCUAUCGAACCAUCUAGUAGCUGGUUCCCUC